rnacentral:rRNA from 1 species
GACGAACGCUGGCGGCGUGCUUAACACAUGCAAGUCGAACGGAAAGGCCCUGCUUUUGUGGGGUGCUCGAGUGGCGAACGCGUGAGUAACACGUGAGUAACCUGCCCUUUACUUUGGGAUAACUUCAGGAAACUGGGGCUAAUACCGGAUAGGAUCUCCUGCUGCCUGGUGGGGGUUGGAAAGUUUCGGCGGUUGGGGAUGGACUCGCGGCUUAUCAGCUUGUUGGUGGGGUAGUGGCUUACCAAGUCUUUGACGGGUAGCCGGCCUGAGAGGGUGACCGGCCACAUUGGGACUGAGAUACGGCCCAGACUCCUACGGGAGGCAGCAGUGGGGAAUAUUGCACAAUGGGCGGAAGCCUGAUGCAGCAACGCCGCGCGCGGGAUGACGGCCUUCGGGUUGUAAACCGCUUUCGCCUGUGACGAAGCGUGAGUGACGGUAAUGGGUAAAGAAGCACCGGCUAACUACGUG